ACGGGUUUAGCUCAGUUGGUAGAGCACUGGUCUCCAAAACCAGGUGUCGGGGGUUCGAGCCCCUCAAUCCGUG
rnacentral:tRNA from 1 species